rnacentral:rRNA from 1 species
ACGGGAGGCAGCAGUGGGGGAUAUUGCACAAUGGGGGAAACCCUGAUGCAGCGACGCCGCGUGAGUGAUGAAGUAUUUCGGUAUGUAAAGCUCUAUCAGCAGGAAAGAUAAUGACGGUACCUGACUAAGAAGCACCGGCUAAAUACGUGCCAGCAGCCGCGGUAAUACGUAGGGGGCAAGCGUUAUCCGGAUUUACUGGGUGUAAAGGGAGCGUAGGCGGCAGAGCAAGUCAGAAGUGAAAGCCCGGGGCUCAACCCCGGGACGGCUUUUGAAACUGUUCAGCUAGAUUCCAGGAGAGGUAAGCGGAAUUCCUAGUGUAGCGGUGAAAUGCGUAGAUAUUAGGAGGAACGCCAGUGGCGAAGGCGGCUUACUGGACUGGCAAUGACGCUCAGGCUCGAAAGCGUGGGGAGCAAACAGGAUUAGAUACCCUGGUA